AGUGAACGCUGGCGGUAGGCCUAACACAUGCAAGUCGAACGGCAGCACAGUAAGAGCUUGCUCUUACGGGUGGCGAGUGGCGGACGGGUGAGGAAUACAUCGGAAUCUACUUUUUCGUGGGGGAUAACGUAGGGAAACCUACGCUAAUACCGCAUACGACCUACGGGUGAAAGCAGGGGAUCUUCGGACCUUGCGCGAUUGAAUGAGCCGAUGUCGGAUUAGCUAGUUGGCGGGGUAAAGGCCCACCAAGGCGACGAUCCGUAGCUGGUCUGAGAGGAUGAUCAGCCACACUGGAACUGGGACACGGUCCAGACUCCUACGGGAGGCAGCAGUGGGGAAUAUUGGACAAUGGGCGCAAGCCUGAUCCAGCCAUACCGCGUGGGUGAAGAAGGCCUUCGGGUUGUAAAGCCCUUUUGUUGGGAAAGAAAAGCAGCAGGUUAAUACCCCGCUGUUCUGACGGUACCCAAAGAAUAAGCACCGGCUAACUUCGUG
rnacentral:rRNA from 1 species